GAAAUAUAAGAGUCCGUCUCUUAACUUUUAACUAAAAAAACUAAGAACCGGUUCUUAAAUAAGAGUUUCAAGAACCGGUUCUUAGCUUUUUUAAUUAAAAGUUAAGAGACGGAUUCUUAUAUUCU
rfam:Brassica napus, WGS project CCCW01000000 data, contig: 10046